UGUGUGAAUGCAACAGAUACGAACGGUAAAAAUGGCAAAAAGAAGGAAAGAAGAGAAAGAAAUGGGUGGGGCCGAAAAAAUAAGAAUUAAAAAGAAAAAAAUUUGGCACAAGAGGCAGCUAAAUGCGCCAAAUUAACAGACCUUUUCCGUAGUGGAAAGAGUGCUGUGGCAGCCGGAGGUGCAGAUGAGGAAGGACCCAGCAGCAUGGACAGGACAGAAUUCCAAUGUAGGAAGAGAGAAGAGGAGGAGCAGGAGAAGAGAGGAGGAGAGAGGAGGAGGAGGCGGCGGCGGAGGAGCAGCAGAAACCAGGAAACAGACAGCUGUACAAUCAGUAAGCAGAGGCAGGGUCCAGCACAGGGGAAACUGAGCCAGGGAGAGUUGAAAGGAGUGGGGCCAAAGUCUUUAUGAUAUCACCAGUUCCAGCACCAGAAUUACUAAAUGUAAAUGAUUAUUUUCUAUUUAUUGACAAAAAUAAAGUACA